UAGACAUGCACGCACAUUUAAUCUGCAGCUACGAAGUACUUUAUCAAUCCUCUGGAACAUUAUUUUCAGCAGAAUUAUCCGAUUUAUAAAUUUUUGUGUGAAUUGUUUACGAGGAAAUUCCGACUGUUACUUUAACAAGCUGAGCACUCUUGACUCUGGUUCGUGGUUCCCAGUGAUAAAUGUAUCGAGUGAUGAAAGAGUCGACGGUGACAUUUUAAAGUUUGAUUGGCGUGGACUAUCGGAAUGAAGAUGACUGCAGGAAUGGUUUGUUUGAUUAUUGGCCUAUCAAACAUUUUCCAGUCAUUUGAUGAUGCCACCACUUGGGAUAGUAAGCUGCAAAUAUAGACUUGUACUCAGCACUUAUUGCCUUUGAGAAGUAAGGGAUCCUUUUGACACUGAAUCUCGGUGUAUGCGGUCUCAUUGGAGUAACCCGUCUGAAGCAUUUAGCAAUGGGAUUGGAACCUGUGAUGUUUGAUGCAGUGAAUAAUCAAAGUACUCAGAAGUACUGAAAGCUGGGCUCAUUUACAGGGUAAUGAACAAAGACUGUGAUGAGAGUUUAAAAACAAAUUCAGACAUUGAGAGGAUAUGUUAUCCACAAAAAUAUCUCUAUGGCAUAUAUAUAGUAUUAAAAAGUUUUAAAAUUAAAUAAAAUUAUUAUAGAAUUUAACAGCAUAAAAUAUUCAUCACAUGUAUCGUUUGAGGCGGUUUCGGGGAUUUAUAUACCAACAGAAGUAAAUAAACACUAA